CCUACGGGAGACUGCAGUGAGGAAUAUUGGUCAAUGGACGAGAGUCUGAACCAGCCAAGUAGCGUGAAGGAUGACUGCCCUAUGGGUUGUAAACUUCUUUUAUAAAGGAAUAAAACGAGGCACGUGUGCCUUUUUGCAUGUACUUUAUGAAUAAGGAUCGGCUAACUCCGUGCCAGCAGCCGCGGUAAUACGGAGGAUCCGAGGGUUAUCCGGAUUUAUUGGGGUUAAAGGGAGCGUAGAUGGGUUGUUAAGUCAGUUGUGAAAGUUUGCGGCUCAACCGUAAAAUUGCAAUUGAUACUGGCAGUCUUGAGUACAGUUGAGGUAGGCGGAAUUCGUGGUGUAGCGGUGAAAUGCUUAGAUAUCACGAAGAACACCGAUUGCGAAGGCAGCUUACUAAACUGUGACUGACAUUGAUGCUCGAAAGUGUGGGUAGCAAACAGGAUUAGAUACCCCAGUAGUC
rnacentral:rRNA from 1 species